GACGAACGCUGGCGGCGUGCUUAACACAUGCAAGUCGAACGGUGAAGCGCCUUCCUUUUUGGUGGGUGUGGAUGAGUGGCGAACGGGUGAGUAACACGUGAGUAACCUGCCCCCUUCUUCUGGAUAACCGCAUGAAAGUGUGGCUAAUACGGGAUAUUCUGGGUCUGUCGCAUGAUGGGUCUGGGAAAGAUAUUGUUUCGGUGGGGGAUGGGCUCGCGGCCUAUCAGCUUGUUGGUGGGGUGAUGGCCUACCAAGGCGGUGACGGGUAGCCGGCCUGAGAGGGUGGACGGUCACACUGGGACUGAGACACGGCCCAGACUCCUACGGGAGGCAGCAGUGGAGAAUAUUGCACAAUGGGCGCAAGCCUGAUGCAGCGACGCCGCGUGAGGGAUGGAGGCCGUCGGGUUGUGAACCUCUUUCGCCAGUGAAGCAGGCCUGCCUCGUUUGUGGGUGGGUUGACGGUAGCUGGAUAAGAAGCGCCGGCUAACUACGUG
rnacentral:rRNA from 1 species